UGUGUGUGUGUGUUACCUGUAAGGACUAGAUGUAGGGGGUAGUGUGUGUGUGUUACCUGUAAGGACUAGAUGUAGGGGUAGUGUGUGUGUGUUACCUGUAAGGACUAGAUGUAGGGGUAGUGUGUGUGUGUUACCUGUAAGGACUAGACGUAGGGGGGGUGUGUGUGUGUUACCUGUAAGGACUAGACGUAGUGUGUGUGUGUGUUACCUGUAAGGACUAGACGUAGUGUGUGAGUGAGUGAGUGAGUGAGAGAGAGAGUGUGUGUUACCUGUAAGGACUAGAUGUAGGGGUAGUGUGUGUGUGUUACCUGUAAGGACUAGAUGUAGGGGUAGUGUGUGUGUGUUACCUGUAAGGACUAGGUGUAGGGGUAGUGUGUGUGUUACCUGUAAGGACUAGACGUAGGGGUAGUGUGUGUGUGUUACCUGUAAGGACUAGAUGUAGGGGUAGUGUGUGUGUGUUACCUGUAAGGACUAGACGUAGGGGUAGUGUGUGUGUUACCUGUAAGGACUAGACGUAGGGGUAGUGUGUGUGUUACCUGUAAGGACUAGAUGUAGGGGUAGUGUGUGUGUUACCUGUAAGGACUAGACGUAGGGGUAGUGUGUGUGUUACCUGUAAGGACUAGGUGUAGGGGUAGUGUGUGUGUGUUACC
rnacentral:lncRNA from 1 species